UAGCUCAACUAUUAGGCUUCGGGGGAUACUGCCAGACUUGGAACCGGGAGAGGUAAGAGGUACUACAGGGGUAGGAGUGAAAUCUUGUAAUCCCUGUGGGACCACCUGUGGCGAAGGCGUCUUACCAGAACGGGUUCGACGGUGAGGGACGAAAGCUGGGGGCACGAACCGGAUUAGAUACCCGGGUAGUCCCAGCCGUAACGAUGCUCGCUAGGUGUCAGGCAUGGCGCGACCGUGUCUGGUGCCGCAGGGAAGCCGUGAAGCGAGCCACCUGGGAAGUACGGCCGCAAGGCUGAAACUUAAAGGAAUUGGCGGGGGAGCACAACAACGGGUAGGAGCCUGCGGUUUAAUUGGACUCAACGCCGGACAACUCACCGGGGGCGACAGCAAUAUGUAGGCCAAGCUGGAGACUUUGCCUGAAUCGCUGAGUAGAGGUGCAUGG
rnacentral:rRNA from 1 species